rnacentral:rRNA from 1 species
UAAUACGGAGGGUGCAAGCGUUAAUCGGAAUUACUGGGCGUAAAGCGCACGCAGGCGGUCUGUCAAGUCGGAUGUGAAAUCCCCGGGCUCAACCUGGGAACUGCAUUCGAAACUGGCAGGCUAGAGUCUUGUAGAGGGGGGUAGAAUUCCAGGUGUAGCGGUGAAAUGCGUAGAGAUCUGGAGGAAUACCGGUGGCGAAGGCGGCCCCCUGGACAAAGACUGACGCUCAGGUGCGAAAGCGUGGGGAGCAAACAGGAUUAGAUACCCUGGUAGUCCACGCCGUAAACGAUGUCGAUUUGGAGGUUGUGCCCUUGAGGCGUGGCUUCCGGAGCUAACGCGUUAAAUCGACCGCCUGGGGAGUACGGCCGCAAGGUUAAA